GCCUCUGUGGCGGAAUGGUAGACGCGGCAGACUCAAAAUCUGUUGCUCGCAAGGGCGUGGGGGUUCGAGUCCCUCCAGGGGCACCA
rnacentral:tRNA from 5 species